rnacentral:rRNA from 1 species
AGGGGCAGCGGGGGAGUGGCAACACUUCCGCCGGCGACCGGCGCACGGGUGAGUAACACGUAUGAAACCUGCCCGCAGCAGGGGGAUAAGCGGAAGAAAUUCCGUCUAAUACCGCGUAACAACCGACGGGGGCAUCCCUGUUGGUUCAAAGGAGCGAUCCGGCUGCGGAUGGUCAUGCGGCGCAUUAGCUAGUUGGCGGGGCAACGGCCCACCAAGGCGACGAUGCGUAGGGGUUCUGAGAGGAAGGUCCCCCACACUGGUACUGAGACACGGACCAGACUCCUACGGGAGGCAGCAGUGAGGAAUAUUGGUCAAUGGCCGAGAGGCUGAACCAGCCAAGUCGCGUGAGGGAUGACGGCCCUACGGGUUGUAAACCUCUUUUGCCGGGGAGCAAAGAGCGGGACGCGUCCCGCCUCGAGAGUACCCGGAGAAAAAGCAUCGGCUAACUCCGUGCCAGCAGCCGCGGUAAUACGGAGGAUGCGAGCGUUAUCCGGAUUUAUUGGGUUUAAAGGGUGCGCAGGCGGAAGCGCAAGUCAGCGGUAAAAUUGAGAGGCUCAACCUCUUCCCGGCGUUGAAACUGCGUUUCUUGAGUGGGCGAGAAGUACGCGGAAUGCGUGGUGUAGCGGUGAAAUGCAUAGAUAUCAUGCGAAACUCCGAUUGCGAAGGCAGCGUACCGGCGCCCAACUGACGCUCAUGCACGAAAGCGUGGGGGUCCUUUUUAAAGUUAAANACCCNNNNNANUCCACAAAAAAAAGGGGCCCUUUAGGGUGUCCGGGGAGAUUGGUCUCUGGGCGGCCAAGCGAAAGCGUUAAGUAUUCCACCUGGGGAGUACGCCGGCAACGGUGAAACUCAAAGGAAUUGACGGGGGCCCGCACAAGCGGAGGAACAUGUGGUUUAAUUCGAUGAUACGCGAGGAACCUUACCCGGGCUCAAACGACGGAUGAAUACUUUUGAAAGGAGGUAGUCCUUCGGGACAUCCGUCGAGGUGCUGCAUGGUUGUCGUCAGCUCGUGCCGUGAGGUGUCGGCUUAAGUGCCAUAACGAGCGCAACCCCCAUCGCCAGUUGCCAACAGGUAAAGCUGGGAACUCUGGCGAGACUGCCGGCGCAAGCUGUGAGGAAGGCGGGGAUGACGUCAAAUCAGCACGGCCCUUACGUCCGGGGCGACACACGUGUUACAAUGGCAGGUACAGAGAGAUGCGACACGGCGACGUGGAGCGGAACUGUCAAAACCUGUCUCAGUUCGGAUCGGAGUCUGCAACCCGACUCCGUGAAGCUGGAUUCGCUAGUAAUCGCGCAUCAG